UCAGUUCAACUCGUAUCAAAAAGUAGAGGCGGAACGAGAGGGUUUACUCCAUCCGAAAUCUGUCCGCCAAAAUGAGACCACAAAGUGAGGAAUUUUUCUAUGGAGGAUAAAAUGAGUGUCGAAUGUGGAAAAUGUCCAUUUGUUAGAGCGGUCCCUCAACUAUCUUGUCAAUAUAAUAUAAAUCGUUGCUCGUAUCUAGUUUAGUGUCGGAGAUACAAAAAAACCUAGAAGAUUGGAAAGAAUGAACACCAAAGAAGCAACGCAAGAGGCAAAAUUCAAUAGGGCUGUUCACGAGUCAAUCCGGAAGGCCAGCAGCUUGUCGGAGUGCAGGUUGUUGAGGGUGCGCAGGUCGGGCAAGUGCAGGAGCAGCUUGGGGAAGAUGGACGCGCUCUCGUCAGGGCGACGGCAGUGGAUGAGGGAAUGCAGGGCACGGAUUAACCCCUCCUGGAGCUGUUCUACUGCCCCCAUAUCAAUGAUGCCAGAAAGGUCUAAGGAGACAAGAAGAGAGGAGACCAGCACCACGGCCAUGAACAGAGCCAUCUCAUCAGGCUCCAGCCUCAGAGUUCCCAGCUUCUCACUGAAGUCAAAGAUGGCGUCGAGCAGCGCCCCCAUCCCCAGCGCCCGCAGGGUGGACAGAGGGUACGUCUGGCCAUUCAGGAAGGUCACCGUCCGCUCCUCAGGGUUAAACAUUGUACAAAACCUCACCAUCAACACCUGACCGAGACAGAAGACCCAGUGGAAGACACGGCCGCGCGGGCUAUGUGGUGCUUCCGCUCCCUCCUUGCCCAGCGCCCGCAAGCAGCACGACACCUGACCGCCGACUCACAUGGACUUCUGACACGGUUACUGCCUGGAUCAAAUUUGCAGUGUCGUGUAGACAUUUACAACAAUCAACAACCCAUUUACAACAAUGUCUAACAGAACUGUUGCUAGAGAAUUUAAUGUUCAUUUCUCUACCAUAAGCCGUCUCCAAUGUCAUUUUAAAGAAUUUGUCAGUACAUCCAACCGGCCUCACAAGCUUAGACCACAUGUAACCAUGCCAGCUCAGGACCUCCACAUCCGGCUACUUCAAAAAACAGAUAAAGCAACGCCUCUCCCCUAUUGGAUCUACAUAGUUUGUGUGUAUGCAUUGAUAUGUAGACUACGUGUGCCUUUAAAAAAAUUGAGUUCUGUCCUUGAGCUGUUCUUGUCUAUUAAUGUUCUGUAUUAUGUUUUGUGUGGACCCCAGGAAGAGUAGCUGCUGCUUUUGCAACAGCUAAUGGGGAUUCUAAUAAAAUACCAAAUACCUGUGGGAUCGUCUGAGGGGAUGCUGAAGAGUUUCUGUCUGUAAUAAAGCACUUUUGUGGGGAAAAACUCAUUCUGAUUGGCUGGGCCUGGCUCCUCAGUGGGUGGGCGUGGCUCCCAAGUGGGUGGACCGAUACUCUCUCAGGCCCCAUAAUGGCAAAGCAAAUUUAUAAAACAUAACUGAAAUAUCACAUUUACAUAACUAUUCAGACCAUUUACGCAGUACUUGCUGAAGCACCUUUGGCAGUGAUUACAGCCUUGAGUCUUAUUGUGUAUGAUGCGACAAGCUUGGCACACCUGUAUUUGGGGAGUUUCUCCCAUUCCUCUGCAGAUCCUCUCAAGCUCCGUCAGGUUGGAUGGGGAGUGUCACUGCACAGCUACUUUCAGGUCUCUCCAGGGAUGAUCGAUCGGGUUCAAGUCCGGGCCACUCAAGGACAUUCAGAGACGCGUCCCGAAGCCACUCCCGAGUUGUCUUGGCUGUGUGCUUAGGGUCGUUGUCUUUUUGGAAGGUGAAACUUCACCCCAGUCUGAGGUUCUGGGCCCUCUGAAGCAGGUUUUCAACAGGGAUCUUUGUACUUUGCCCCUUUAAUCGUUGCCUUUAUCCUGACUAGUCUCCCUUUCCUUGCCGCUGAAAAAACAUCCCCACAGCAUGAUGCUGCCACCACCAUGCUUCACUGUAGAGAUGUUGCCAGGUUUUCACCCAGACAUGAUGCUUGGGAUUCAGGCCAAAGAGUUCAAUCUUGGUUUCAUCAGUCCAGAGAAUCUUGUUUCUCAUGGUUUGAGAGUCUUUAGGUGCCUUUUGGCAAACUCCAAGCGGCCUGUCAUGUGCCUUUUACUGAGGGGUGGCUUCCGUCUGGCUCUACCAUACAGGUCUGAUUGGUGGAGUGCUGCAGAGAUGGUUGUCCUUCUGGAAGGUUCUUCCAUCUCCACAGAGGAACUCUGGAGCUCUGUCAGAGUGACCAUCGGGUUCUUGGUCACCUCCCUGGCCAAGGCCCUUCUCCCCCGAUUGCUCCGUUUGGCUGGGCAGAGAGCUCUAGGAAGAGUGUUGGUGGUUCCAAACUUCUUCCAUUUAAGAAUGAUUGAGGCCACUGUGUUCAUGAGGACAUUCAAUGCUGCAGACAUUUUUGGUACCCUUCCCCAGAUCUGUGCCUCGACACAAUCCUGUCUCGGAGCUCUGCGGACAAUUCCUUCAACCUCAAGGCUUGGUUUUUGCUCUGACAUGCACUGUCAACUGUGGGACCUUAUAUAGACAGCUGUGUGCCAUUCCAAAUCAUGUCCAAUCAAUUGAAUCUACCAUAGGUGGACUCCAAUCAAGUUGUAGAAACAUUUCAAGGAUGAUCAAUGGAAACAGGAUGCACUUGAGAGCUCAAUUUCAAGUGUCAUAGCAAAUGGUCUGAAUACUUAUGCCAAUAAGGUAUCAGAUUUUUAUUUGUAAUAAAUUUGCUAAAAUUGAUAAACCUGUUUUCGCUUUGUCAUUAUGGGGUAUUUUUGUAUAGAUUGCUGAGAGAAUAAAAACAUUUAAUACAUUUUAGAAUACGGCUGUAACGUAACAAAAUGUGGGAAAAGUCAAGAGGUAUGAAUACUUGUCGAAGGCACUGUAUAUUCCCAAAUACUAUGCACCUGUCAUGGAGUCUUACAUUUGUACGAGAAACAUGAGUAAAUCUGCCCUGGGCUUGUAUUUCUUUCCUCUUAUUGACUUCUCCGUUUUUCCCUGUGGUGCUGCUGAACCAAGUAUUUGUUUAUCUCGAGUGUUUUUAUAAUCCCUCAGCCAGCAGCACGUGCUACAGGAUUUAUUAUUGACACACUGCAGAGCCAGAGAUCUAGAGCAAGUCUUAGCAGACAUAUGACAGGGACCUGCUGUCCUGUUCUGGCCAGCCACUACCUGAGACUGGAAACAGACUGCCUCCAGACCCAGCCGGGGCUUGCCAAACCUCCACACCCACCCAAACACAUUGCAUAUCCACUUGAACACUCACAUGUGAGCUACUUCUGUGUUUACGUUUGUGAGCGCCCUUUAGGACUGAACUACUAUGCCAUAAAUGGUAGCCUAGUCAAUAAAUAAUCAGCUUUUACAGGCCUCUCCAAGGC